UUAGGAAUUUUGCGCAAUGGGGGAAACCCUGACGCAGCAACGCCGCGUGAAGGAUGAAGGCCUUCGGGUUGUAAACUUCUUUUAGUGGGGAAGAAAAAAAUGACGGUAUCCACAGAAAAAGCACCGGCUAACUUCGUGCCAGCAGCCGCGGUAAUACGAAGGGUGCAAGCGUUAUUCGGAAUCACUGGGCGUAAAGAGCUCGUAGGCGGUUAAUUAAGUCGAAUGUGAAAUCCCUGGGCUCAAUCCAGGAAGUGCAUUCGAUACUGAUUGACUGGAGUGCAGGAGAGGAAAGCGGAAUUCCAGGUGUAGAGGUGAAAUUCGUAGAUAUCUGGAGGAACAACAGAAGCGAAGGCGGCUUUCUGGACUGUCACUGACGCUGAGGAGCGAAAGCGUGGGGAGCAAG
rnacentral:rRNA from 1 species